GACAGAGGUCCCAAGCGUAGGCGGAAUCACUGGGCUUAAAGCGUGUGUAGGCGGAUUUGUAAGUACCUUGUGAAAUCCCAACGGCUCAACCGUGGAACUGCUUGGUAUACUGCUUAUCUUGGGCCAUCUAGGGGCGAGCGGAACAAACGGUGGAGCGGUGAAAUGCGUAGAUAUCGUUUGGAACGCCAAUGGUGAAAACAGCUCGCUGGGGAUGUGCCGACGCUGAGACACGAAAGCCAGGGGAGCGAACGGG
rnacentral:rRNA from 1 species